AACGAACGCUGGCGGCAGGCCUAACACAUGCAAGUCGAACGCACCGCAAGGUGAGUGGCGCACGGGUGAGUAACCCGUGGGACUGUACCCUUUGGUUCGGAAUAACGUCCGGAAACGGACGCUAAUACCGGAUGAGCCCUGCGGGGGAAAGAUUAAUCGCAAAAGGAGCCGCCCGCGUCUGAUUAGCUAGUUGGUGGGGUAAAGGCCUACCAAGGCGGCGAUCAGUAGCUGGUCUGAGAGGAUGAUCAGCCACACUGGGACUGAGACACGGCCCAGACUCCUACGGGAGGCAGCAGUGGGGAAUAUUGGACAAUGGGCGGAAGCGUGAGCCAGCCAUGCCGCGUGAGUGAUGAAGGCCUUCGGGUUGUAAAGCUCUUUCGCACGCGACGAUGAUGACGGUAGCGUGAGAAGAAGCCCCGGCUAACUUCGUGCCAGCAGCCGCAGUAAUAC
rnacentral:rRNA from 1 species